UACAGAGGUCUCAAGCGUUGUUCGGAUUCAUUGGGCGUAAAGGGUGCGUAGGUGGCGCGCUAAGUCAGGUGUGAAAUUUCGGGGCUCAACCCCCGAAACUGCAUUUGAUACUGGCGUGCUUGAGGACUGGAGAGGAGACUGGAAUUCACGGUGUAGCAGUGAAAUGCGUAGAUAUCGUGAGGAAGACCAGUGGCGAAGGCGGGUCUCUGGACAGUUCCUGACACUGAGGCACGAAGGCCAGGGAGCAAACGGG
rnacentral:rRNA from 1 species